GUAGGGUGCAGGCGUUAAUCGGAAUUACUGGGCGUAAAGCGUGCGCAGGCGGCUCUUUAAGUCAGAUGUGAAAGCCCCGGGCUUAACCUGGGAAUUGCGUUUGAAACUGGAGAGCUGGAGUGUGGAAGAGGGGGGUGGAAUUCCAGGUGUAGCAGUGAAAUGCGUAGAGAUCUGGAGGAACACCGAUGGCGAAGGCAGCCCCCUGGGCUAACACUGACGCUCAUGCACGAAAGCGUGGGGAGCAAACAGGAUUAGAUACCCUGGUAGUCCACGCCCUAAACGAUGUCAACUGGUUGUCGGGGAAGCAAUUCCUUGGUAACGAAGCUAACGCGUGAAGUUGACCGCCUGGGGAGUACGGCCGCAAGGUUAAA
rnacentral:rRNA from 1 species